GCCUCCGUAGUUCAGUUGGUUGAGCGCUGGGCUCACAAUCCGGAGGUCCCGGGUUCGAAUCCCGGUGGGGACA
rnacentral:tRNA from 1 species